rnacentral:lncRNA from 1 species
UAGAUUUAUUGAUUGCCCUUAAAACCUUCAAGGACAAUUUGAAGUUAUACACUGCAAAUGUCACUUUUUUUUUAACAGAAGAAAAAGUUAUCAAGAGAGAUCCACCAAACUCGAAUGAAAUGUUCUCCAAAUGCCUCUGUCUCAGGCCUCUACCAAACACAGGUUUCUUCUCUUGACUUUUAUUCUCUAGGUGUGGACGGAUGGAAAAAAAUCACAGUUAACGUGUUAGAACUGAAAGAGGAAAGGAGGGGUACAGAAUUUCUCAAUCUGGAAACUUGUAAUAACACAAAACCAUGAGUUGGCCUAUACAGUAUUCCUCCUUGGAUUCCUGGCUAGGGACAUGGGGAGGAAAUGAAAGCAACCUGGAGCAACUAUCACAAUCAAUCUGGGACACUGGAAAGAGUCAAGAAGAUCAUUCAUUAAAGAGAAACAUCCAAAAUGAUGGAAGAGCAAAGUGAGGAUCCAAGAAGUUUCUGACAUGGUGUAUGAGUCAAAUGUAUGACAAUGGAGUUAUCUUGGUCAUGCAACAUGUGUUAAACCAGUUUUCUCUGGUUCCUAGUCCAUCCAAUGUGACUACAAUUAAACUAAGCUUAUUCUUCCGGGCAUCUCACACGAUUGUCGUGAGUGUUCCUUGUGCUGAUGGUUAUGGUUCUCUUCCGUUGCAAAGGCUUACAGAGUCUCGGGUAGCUCAGAGUCGUCAGCUACUAUCUCCCUUGACCAUAGAUAACUUCUCAGGGCUGCACCUUGGACCACACCAGAUCAAGUACAAUUCCUUGCUAAAUAAUCA